ACAAAAAGAAAAGUAUAUUGUUUUCUUUAUCUAGAGAUGUUAUUUUCCCAUUUAAGGCAGAAGUUCACUUAAAAAUAAAUAUUCAAAGCAGAUGUUACCAGCUGUUUUUAUUACCCUAGGUAACAAUCCCCUCGGCCAUGCACACACAGCUAAAAUACCCUUCAGUAAGGCACUGUCUGGCUCUUUCAGGCAUGGAAAGGAGUCCUUAUUAACGCUGUACAUCUCGGUCUCUUUUUAGGGCCUCUACAAUCAGUCCUUUUUAUAAUUAAUAAUCUCAAAACCUCACACUGAUGAUGGGGCUUUAUCAUCCCUGUCAUCAGCAUAUGGAUGGAAAACCAGUUCAUGAGACGUAAGCAAAAUAUGAAGAAUCAUUAAUUUUCUAAUUGGUAACUUUAGUGGAGCAGCAAGAAAAUGAAAAUUUAAAUACUGAAUUUUAAAUCUUGAAAAUCUCAUUGUGAUCUCCAAAUUAUACUUCAUAUAGCCUCCAAAAACUUAAGCACAGAAUAAAGAUUUUUUUUUUAAGCUUUUCUUAUUUUUCCUGCUCGAGACUGCCAGUCUCCCCAUGUUCAUUAUAAAGGUUUUCUGUCUCCUUGAAGACUUUACCUGUGUUGCUGAGGAACUCCCUGUGCUUGGAAUUCCAAACACACAGUUUACUUAAGCUCAUUCUAUACUUUUUACUUACAUCAUUCUUCUUGCAUCUGCUCUAGUGCUUGAUUAUUGAGAUUUUUAUAUCCAGAGAGCAUGAUUUGUAGCCAUCUGGAUUUGCUGAUUAUGAAGGUGGUGUUAUCCGUCAGGCACGUUGGAGUAUGCCAAGUCAUUUUAAUGACUACGGAUCUUUAGAAGCUCUUGCCCUAGAACUGGUAUCUGAUCUCUGAAACGCCAGUGAUCCAUCGAGAGGAGAAUGUUACAGGGAAGGGGCACGUCAGAGAAAAUAAUAUGGGUACCGUGAGAGCCGGACGGUGCCCACCUCUCCACUGUGUUCUGUGAAUACUCUUCCAGGUCCUGGGGACCCAGCAGAGAACAAAGGGAGACAAAGUCCCUUCUCUCAGAGAGGAAACAGGCUUCAAUGGUGCUCUUCAUUUAUACGUGGAAACAGGAUAAACAUCUGAAAAGUCAAAUACUACAGGAACUACAUAAAAUGGAGUCACAUAAUACUACGUGUGACAGCCCAUAAUCCUGCUGCCCCUGCCAGAUAAGGAAACAAAGCCCAGGAACCCCAAGGAACUGAAAGUUUGCUUUCACCCAGCAAGCUGCGGCUCUCACUUUUGGUUGAGAGUUUUUCCCAUGUCUCACAUUGUUUUGCGAUUAAAAAAACAAAACAACAACAAAA